UACGUAGGGACCGAGCGUUGUCCGGAUUCAUUGGGCGUAAAGAGCUCGUAGGCGGCUGCUCAAGUCGAAUGUGAAAACUCGAGGCUCAACCUCGAGCCUGCAUUCGAUACUGGGCGGCUAGAGUCUGGUAGGGGGAUCUGGAAUUCCUGGUGUAGCGGUGGAAUGCGCAGAUAUCAGGAGGAACACCGGUGGCGAAGGCGGGAUCCUGGGCCAGUACUGACGCUGAGGCGCGAGAGCGUGGGGAGCGAACCGG
rnacentral:rRNA from 1 species